UUCAACCCUCGAACCCCUCCGGGGGUACGGCGUUGGGGAUCCGCGUCUGACGCGGUCCCUCAAAAACAGUUGGCGGGCUCGCUAGUCACACCGAGCGUAGUAACUCUACAUCGCUAUGGUCGUGCGGCGGGUUCUUGCCGUAAAACCCCCCAUUUUUUAAGGUUGACCUCGGAUCAGGUAGGAAUACCCGCUGAACUUAA
rnacentral:misc_RNA from 1 species